AAACAAGCUCCUAUAUCUUUCUUGUAAGUUAGUUUUGUCUUAUUUCAGGUGUUGCAGGAGGAACCAGGAGGAAAAUACUUGUGAAGAUUUGUUGUUUUUGCAUCUGUGGUUCACUUCCCCUCCCUCCUCUCUCCUCUUCCUGCUAAUUUCCACUUGAAGCUCGACUGAAGCUCUGAUUUGAUGCAAACCACCAGGAGGGCGGCGCGCCGGUCGGCGGCGUCAGGUUGAUUUUGCGAAAGGUAAAGGAGAAGAUGGCGAGAUAAAGGUAACAAUAAACGGGGCAAAGAGGAGGGAAAGCUCGCCGCCUGACUGUCAGCGCCUGCUAAUUGCAGAUGUGCCAUUCUGCCAUCAUAAUAAAAUCAGAGGCAGGGCGGACAUUAAGCACGACUGGCUCAUUUGUGAGACUGCUGAAAAGGUAGCACAAAUGAAUAUUUCAUUACCUUAAUUACUAAGGAAUACUCCUUUCCACCAGUCGCCGAAUGAGUGUUGCUGUAACUAAUUAUGAAGCGUAAUAACAUUAGGGAUACCGUGAUUGCCAGUUUAUAAGCUCGGCGCUGAGGUAUAAACUGUGUUGGUAACAUUCUGGAAGGAAGGAAGUGGCUGGUUUGUUGCUCCAGCGGUGAUGCAAGCAGCUGCUACCUGAACGCUUUGACCAAUCCGCUACGCCGCUUCAUCACGCCGCAGCCUUCUCAUGUCGUCGUUCACCUCUGCGUCUCCACGCCCGGCUGUAAUGUAUGACCGCCGAUAAGGCCGUGAGAAAAAAACGGCAGAGUACAAGGUCUGCUUUGAUGGCCAUGCUAAUUCCAAUACCCCUAAGUAGUAAGAAUAACAAAGUGGAGGGGAAUUUAUCUCAGGAAUGCUGGAGCAAGACAGCCGAGCGAUAAGGAAGUAGCUUCCCCUGGGUGGGGGAGAAGUAAUUAGGCUGGGCUGACUUGUUAGAUGACUGGCCUGGCUGGCAGGACGGCAGCAGAAAGGCUUCAGCCGCUGCAGUUUUAGCAAAAAGGAGAGGAAAGUGAUACAAAGUCAUAAAGCCAUGACCUAACUGGAGACAAAGCUGCGUGUCAGGGCUGAGUCACAAGCUUCAACUCAUGUCUUCUGUUUCCUGAAACCGUUUCUAGGUCAGGAAAUACCCGGCGAAGAACAAGCGCGGCCUCGAUGGCGGCGGCGUUGGUUUUCCGCCGGCCACACAAACACAAACCCAAACUCUGUCAGACUCCAACCUUGUGCGUGUCGGAAAGGCAGAGGACAGCGCUGUCGGUGUGAUUAUCCCCCGCUACCUGAAGAGGUGUUUGUUUGACAUUCCCGUCUGACAAGCGGCGGGACAUGAAGCGUUCUGGAGAGGAGGGGGGGUCCCCUCUGCAGUCAGAACCCAUUAACAGGGGCUCGACUUGGGCUACACAUGUCCACCGACUGCAGCAGGAUGACAUUUAAAGGGGAAGAUGUCUCAGCUCUCCUUGACUCACUCUUGCCAAAAGGUUAAACAGAACGUCGGAAUAACAAGCAGGCCGCUGACCGCUCCCCUCGCUCGGCUGCAGCCUCCGCUUACCAAGGUGCUUGAUCAGCGGCGAGAUGAAAGCGGGAAGCGAGCGAAAUCCGUGCAACCGCAAAACGACCUAAUUUUGGGGCCUAAUCUCGCCUGGCGAUCGGCUGCAAUUAAAUCGAGAUAAGAAUUUGGGAGCACCGGGGAGAGCCAGACGAAGCCUCGUUAAAGACGGGAAAAGGAGCAAAAAGGAGUCACUUAGGUGGUACAGGAAGCAGGAAACCUCCUGAAUAAUGAAGUGCAGUUGGAAAGUGAGCGCUGAUCAAAUAGCAUGUUCUAUUAUGUGGAAUUAAAGGUGGGCGAGUCGGCCCAGAUUUCCACAUGUCACCCAGCCUUAAUCUGCCGAUCUGCUAUUGAUUCCUCCACGCGGCCCUGACCUUGCCAGGAGAGCUCUUCUGACAAUCCGGCGUACAUCAAGGAGUGUGUGAAUUUCCCUAAAUGCGUGUGCAUGUGUGAGUAAGAGAGAGAGAGAGAGAGAGAGAGAGAACAUCAGAGCGAGGAAAAACUGGAGGCUGCUUUCAACACUUGUUUGCACAAAGGUGUCAUCUCCGAAAGCAGCUGCCGCGCAGAAACGGAGAAAAAUGGGAAAAUUAUUUUAAUGGCCAACACGACACACACACACUUUUACACACAAAAAGCGUUCACACAAGCACGGACCAGCUGUGAUGUGUUUGUUCUUUUCAUUUAAUCUACAUUUAGGCUUUUGUUGCUCCAUAAUCCGGCUUGUUAAAAAGCUGGACCUGACAGGUUGGGAUCGAUGCUUCGGAGAUAAAUCAGAGCCGUUCUCCAAAUGAAACACAAAUACAACCGCUUGGUUUUGGCGGAACAGCUGCUAUCCGAGCGAGCGCACAUGUAGCAUUGUUGGGAACAAGAAGGUGUUUGUAAAGUUGUUUUUCACCGUCAUCAACAUUUAAUUAUGAAAUCUGAACGCUAGUUUACACCUGCUCAGCAACCUGUCGCCUGUCGCGCCCAGACUCGAGGAAAGUCGAGGAAAAUGUCGGAGAAGAAAAAAAACAGGCGAGACGCGGCGGAAUAAGUGCAAACAGCAGGACGAGGCCAAAUAAAGACUUUACAUUUUCACUCCAGAACGACUCAAAUGAGGCAUUUUUUUAGAAAUAUAUAUAUAUAUUUUUUAGAAGAUGCAUCCUCCUCCUACGCAAUGCAUAAAACAUGCUGGCUUAGGGGUAAGGAGUGGAAAAAAAGUCUGAAUGCAUGCAGUUAUUUGCCAGACCAGUGAAGUUUCAAUUUCUGUGUUUGCUUGUUUUUCUGGGGAAAAACAAGAGAAGCGAGAAGGCAUGAAGAGAUGUGGGCCUUUUCUCCGACUCAUCCUGCAGAGUCUGGAGUCUCACACAAGUUCAGGAGGAAAACGCCGCCGCUGCGCUCGCUCCCCCCUCUCUGCCUCCACACAACCACAGCAGGGGUUAACAUCACGGCUGCCUGGUAAGGCUUUAUUCCGAACCGCUCCGAACAAAAGGCCCCUUUUGCAAACAGACUCCUACUUUUUUUUUUUUUCAUCCCACAGUGUCCAAAGGUGUUUGCUGAAGUAAAUCUGCCUAAAUCCUGCCAGGAGGGGAGGGAAGGUGUUCCUAUAAUCCCUAAAAAGAAAGUUGUGGGUGAGAAACGGUGUCACAUGACGGCUGGGAACGUCUCAAUGUUCGUCCAGACAAGACACCUGCUCUCCUUAUCUGCUCAAACCAGGAUUUCUUUUGAUUUCUUUUUUUUCCUGAGCGUCCGUGAAUAGUGUGGGCAUGCCAUCUCGUAACACUAUCUGCGUGUCAGGAGGGGCCGGGGGUCCCUGCUGGAGUACGGAGGCUAUAAAAGGCUUGUAACCAGGGGACGAGCAACAAACAACCACAAACACCCUGGUUAUUCCUCUCCAGCACCCACCCACCACUUUCUGCCUCCAUUUUUCUCUUCCUCUUCUUCUUCCCUCCUCCCCCUCCUCUUUUCAUCUCGGGCCCUUUUCUGAUGCUGAAUGCAAAUGUGUAGCCCUGCUGCUGGCGGCGAGAGGGGCUGAAUUGUGAUUAAGGAGAAGAAGAAGAAGGAAGAAGAAGAAGAGGAGGCUCCUUUUUUUCUCUCUUCUUCUUUGUUCUCCCCCCGGGGGGAUGUUUACCAGGAGAGACACGGCGGAUCAGAUAUGAAAGGCAUUCAGGAAUCCAGCAGCUUCCUGCUGGGGUGCAGCCCCGUGUGGGAAUGGCAGCCCGGACAACCCCCCGCCACUAUUGACGGUAUAAACAUCUGCAGACAGAAGCGGGACAGCAGCCCGGAUAACGGAGCCCUUCAUGGGAACCUCCAGCAGCCCGCAGCGGACUCCCGCUCCACCCGGAGCCGCCGCGGACGCCUCCAACCCCGGACACAACAUCCACAGCUCCGGCUCCCCUCAACCCCACACCCCACGGACAACACACGCUCUCCCCGGGAUCUCCUUACCGUUUUUCCGCCUCGGAUUGGCUUGUUUUCGCCUCUUACACCUGGGGCCAUCCGCCAUGAUCUCCUGCUUCAUUGAUAGAGGAGGAAGAAGGAGAAGCCCCCUGAAACGCACGCCACCUAUCUUCACGGGAGGGGAUAAUUGAGGAGAGUCAAACGUGAGCAUCUUCUGGGUUGAAGUUGUUGUUUUUUUUUUCCUUCUUGCUCUCCUUUCUCUCUCCCUCUCUCCUCCUCCUCUCCGUUCUUUCUUGUUUUCUCGGCUUCGGCAGAAGAAAUGCGGCUCUUUAUUUUUGCAGAAUCAGACGGGAAGCGGCUCGACUCGCGUAAGGAUCUUUUUUUAUUAUUAUUACAAAUAUGCAUUCUGUGUAUUUUAAUUUAUUUAAAAUGUUUAUUUACGUAUCAGCGCACCUGCGUUGCGUCACCUGGAUGCCAGGUGCGUCCAGGUGCCUCCAGGUAUUUUACCUCAUGCAGAAAUUCAACCAGAACCUGUGCAAACUUUAUUGAUUUCUUGACGCAAUUAAUGCGGAGGAAUUUGAGAAACUGUGUAAAAAGUGGGUGAAAUGUGGAAAUGGAGCGUGUUGGUGCUGGUGUGAGUGAAUAAGGCGCAGAGCGGAGCGGCGCAGAGCGCGGCGCAGAGCGCGGCGCAGGCUCCACCUUUGCGGCGUCCUGAUUGGUUCUGUAAAUAAAGCGUUAUUGUGUCCUGUCCUCCUGCAGCUCGCCACUGUAUGGCUAAUUAAAUCAUCAAUCAAAAGGAGGAACCAAGCAGAUCGACCCUGAAAACGAAAAAAAAGGGAGAAUUUAUUCUGAUUUAACUUUUUAAAAUAUUUUACAAUUAAGAGGAAGUGUGUCUCCAAAAGGAGGGAAUCUUCAUUUAGUUUAUUUUAUUGAUUUAUUAAAUGAAUUAAUGAAUUAGUUUAAUGUGUUUCUGCCUUUUUUUCUUUGUCUGUAGGUGUGAGCAGAGGCUCAAAUAAGGGGAGGGGCGACGGGGCAGCAGAGGCCACCUUCUGCCCCCCAACCAGAAAUAAAUAAUAUUUGGAUUUAAAAAAAGAAAAUCAAUUCAGCGACUUUUAUGUAUUUAUUUGAUCUUUUAGAGGAGUGGUGUCACUGAAAUUGACUUCUUUUUUAUUUAUUUUAAAAAAAAAGCAAAGAUGAGAUGUGACAUUUAUUUAUGUAUUAGUAAUUAUAAUUUAUGCUUUUUUUGUCAUUCAGAGCAAUUUGCAAGCUGCAACAUUUAUUUAUUUACUUGGAUGUAUUUUUUUUUCCUGCUGGGGUUUGAUUUCACCAAACUAAAAAUACCCUGAAUGCAUCAUUUGAAUAUUUCCUCUACAGCAGGAGACUCAGAAGGAUUUGCAUCCUCAGUGUUUUGGGUAAGUUUGGAUUUUAUUUGAAAUUUUCUUCUUUUUCCUUUUUAAAUGUUUUCAUCCAAAACAAAGAGGAUGAAGAGGAGGAGCGUCUGUCCUGGCUGAAUUAUCGUCAUGCGUAAUUUACUGCCACGGAGCGCGCAUGUAAACCAAGCACACACACACACACACCCACACACACCCACACACAGAGGCUGGAGUGGCCUCCUCUGUGGGGCCACAUAUUCACCGUGAAAACGGAUUACAGUGGCUGUGUGACCUAUAGGGCACCUUGUGCUUAAUGAAUAUAUGGCUGUAAAUCAGGGGAUUUGUUGACUUUGUUCAUUUUAAUAAAACAUUCACAUUUUGUUUUAUAUCUGCAAAAAAAGAAAGAUGAUUUCUUGUCUUUUUCCUCUGAAUAAAACCUGAAACCUUAAAAAUGGCUUUUUUUACUUGGAUCCUGUAAAUUUCCUCUGCGUGUUUCUGCCUCUCGUGUUUUGUGUUUUUUUCCUCCGCAGCGUUGAACCUUACAGGCGGCGCUGCAGAGAGGCAGCAGGGAUGCUUCGCUGUCUUUUCGGUGGAGUUGCAGCUUCUGUUUGCGAGCUCGUGUUACACAGCUGCUGCUCCGCCACGGAGCGAGUCGGCAACUCAGAACGAGACGCAGCUUCAGGAUUUAAAUGACGAGCCGCGUCGCAGCACCUGCUGCAAACAGCUUGGAUUCCUCAAAUUUCACCCAUUUCUUGCCCCGGUUUGACCUGGAACCGCUCUGGAUUCGGACCCAGAGAGAAGAUGCUGAUGCAGAGCGAGCCUCGGGGUCUGAGCUGGGUUCUACACGUUGUGCAUCCAGCAGCUCAGCCGCCAGGCGUCCCUGAUUAUUGGCCUAAUUUAGAUCUGAGAGUCACGUGACGACGCAGAGCAUCCAGCCAUGAAUUCAGGCUCCGUCCUGUCAGGAGAAAUCAGACGCUUUUUCCAAACCUGUUGCGAGACGGAGAAAAGGAUUUUGAAUAAAAAAAAUCCUCAGAAAUGUAAAAUAUUUCCACUCACCUGAGGCUGAGCAUCAACGUUUUGUCCAGAUACAUUUUAAUCCUGGAUCAGGAUUUAGACGGGAAAAUGUUUCUGGCUUCCAGAUUCGUUUAAACACACAUGAGCCAAUGCUUCGCUCUCCAAUCUGAUCCGAUUCCAAGCAAAACAAUGAUUCAGCUUCUCCAAAUUCACAGAGCGGAGUCUGUGCUUCAGCCCAGAUGGGAUCUGAUCAGUAGGUCAGCUGAGGUCAGGACCUUCUGGGUCAUGACAUCAAGAAAAAAUGUGUCAAAAGUUACGUUUGAUUCACCUUUUUCUCUUCCUAAAGAGACUUUACAGUAAUUAAGGUCAACAAUAUGAACAUAUUUCAGGUACAUUUCUGUUUAUUUAGAACAAAACCUUAAAAUAAACAACUCUACAAAAAGUGAAUAGUUUUUGAUUUGCACAAUUACAAAGAAUAAAACUGAAGUAAUAAAUUAUUUCCUCAAUUUUCAGUUUGUAAAUCCUGGAUUUAGUUUUUAUGAUGCAUAAUUAAAACCUUUUAAUUGAUUACACAUUUUCAGUAACUCUGCAGAUAAAUGUAAACCUCUUACUUAUGUAUAAUUAUUCAUUUUAAGCGACUUUAUAAGUAAAUACAGAGGAUAAUUUUAUCGUCAUUUACCAAACAACAACUUUGAAUUCCUUCAUUUGCUGCAAACCUUUUCCUAACAUAUUAAUGUCACCAUAAAGUUAGUAAAAUUGAGCUUAAGCAACAAACAGUGAACUAUAAAAACAAUAAAAAUCGAAUAUUACAGGAAAUUAUCUCAACCGAAUGCUGCAAAUUCCUCAUUUUAAUUCUACAGUCAAUAAAUUUUGAUUAUAUUCCAGAAUAUAAAGUCAGAGAAAGCAGUACGUUUUAUCACUUUACAUGAAGUGAAUUAAACUAACCGACUUUUACGUGAAUCUAAAUUAUGGAGCCAAAAUGGAAACGUAAAAAUUGAAAACAUUCCUGCAGCUUUACGCUCAAAUUAUACAGGAAGUUGUAUAAUUUACUGAAAACCACUUAAAGGUGAGUGAAUUUGUGGUUUAAUCUACAAGAAGUCAGAAUAAUUAUUGACAAAUUUUAUAAAACAUUACAGGAAAUUAUUGAACAGUUUCAAAAGAAAACUGAAAACUGCAUGAACUUCACUUUCUUUUUACAGUUCAGUUCUUGUUUAAUCUUUUAAAAUCGAUUAAAAAACAAAAUAAUAGAUUUUCAGAAUCAUUUGUGUACACUCAGUUUUUUAACUAAUACUAAAAGAUGUUGAAUUCAACAUGAACAAAGUUAAAGUAAUCAAGUCAAUGUCAAUAAAUCAAUCAAUACCACCAGGUUUCACGACUAAUUCACAUUUAUUUAGCACUAAACUGAGUAAAAACUAAAUAUUUAGUUUGAUUUGUUGUUUUGACGCGCCGGUUCUCCUGAACACUGCUCAGAUUUGUUUAAAAGUUGAUAAUACAAAUAAAAAUUGUAGUUUUUAAGCAAAGAUAAAGUCAAAGCUCAUUUCUAUAGGAACUUUUAAUGCUACAUCAAGAACUUUAAAAGGUACAAGAUCAAUAAAUCAGCAACAAAAUUAACCAUAAACUAUUUAAAGAUAACUUAUUAAAACAAAUAUAUUAAUUAACUAGUGGUGGGUGAUAUGAACUUGAUGUUUUAUUAUCAUAUUUUGCAGUAGUAUUGUGAACACUGUAAAAAUUAUCAUAAAAAACUAUUUAUUACUGAUUUAUUUGGAUAAGUGUGUGGAUGUUAUUGCCAAUAAACACAAAUAGAAACAUUCCCAGUUGUAAUGUGCUUCUUUAGGUCACAAGUCACAUUAAAAAUGUGAUUUAUGUCACUAAGCUACACAACGUAACUUAUUUUAAUCAUUUUUUCUAUUUUAUUAAUAUUUAUAGAUAUUCUCAAUAAACAAACUGUGGAGAAAACAGUAAAUAAUCCAGACAAUAUGAACAAUUUAAACAUCAUUAAUUAGAAUUCAUCCAAUGACAAGGAAUUUAUCACGAUAAAUGAUAAACGAUACGAUAAAUGACCAUUCCUAUAAUUUUUAUAAAACAUUGAACGACUAACAGAUAGUUUAAGCGUCAUUAAUUUAAAUUUAUUGUGACUAUGAUAAAUCCAAAUUUCUGUCAUGACAAAACUUUAUCGCGAUAAAUGAUAAACGAUAAAUAAUCACCCCUAUAAUUAAUAAUAUAAACCAUGGAACCAAUUGUGGAGGAGACAGUAAAACUGUUAACACAGAUAGCUUAAAAGUCAAUAAUUUCAAUUUAUCACAAUGAUAAAUCAAAAUUUCUAUCAUGAAAAGAAAUGUAUCGUAAUAAAUGAUAAACGGUAAAUACCCAAGCCCAUAAUUAACAAUAUAAAACAUCUAAAAACAAAAAUCAAAUCAGUUAUUUGAAGAUAUUUGCAAAAAGUCAAAUUAUGAUUUAAUUUGCAAAUCAAAUUCAAAUUAAAAAAGCUCUAAGGGAGAUUAAACGUCGGCCUAUUCCAAUCACAUGUAUUCAGUUCACAUGUAGAACAGCAGACUUUUCAGUUUCUACACUUUAUCGUUUGGUUCUGGGAAUAGGAGAAGUUAUAAGGACUGAAAGUUUUCACGGAGUAAAUACCAAUUAUCACGACUUUUUGUGAUGUAGAAGCCAAACGCUGCCGAUCUGACCGCAGAUAAAACCGGCAGGGAGGGACAGUUUGAAAAUCUACUCCUACGAUUCAAAGCAGCUGUCAAGCGGCUGCAGCUCAGCCUCUCGAGCGUUAAACCCUCAGCAAACAGUUUGUGUGUUUCAGCCCUGAAAGCAACUUUUUUUUUUUUUUUUUUUAAUUAAAGUAACGGUUGUUGUUCAGACGGAUCGCAUCUCCUCCUCGCUCUUGUUUGGAACUCCUCGACAUCAAAACUCGGCGUCUCUCGGCGGGGCUCGGCUCUGUGAUGGCCACGCCACAAAAACACCAGAGAAUGACGGACAAUUAAAGAACGAGAGGCGAAGGCUGGACUCUGUGAAAACAUGCAAAAUGAAUCUGGUUUACAUUCGCCACCAGCGAGAGAGAGAGGCAGAGGGAGGCUCUCUCCUCUGAGCAGGUUUGAUCUCACUCAGUUGGGGAAGAAAGCUCGCCAGGAGAACAAGAACGCUGCAGAAACAAAUGAUCACUGCAAAAUAAUAUUGAUUUUCAUGUUGUUCUUGUUAGCUGAAAACUGAGCUGAGGCUUCUACAAAUGACCACUUAUCCAACCGAGGCUCUUGUAAAACAGACAAACAUACGAUGUUGUUUCUUUCCUGUAAGAUGGUUUGUGGUUUCUAAAAGCAUCAGGGUAGGAAACUCGACGGAAUAAAACUCACUUUUAUAAUACUUCUUUCAUUGUGAGUACCUCAGAUCCAGAUGUUUGAGUUAUUCUUGUCAUCUCUUGUAGUACGAUCAAUCAACAUUCAGAAAAUAACCAUCAAAUUCAAACGCUUGUUUAGUUACGUGGAGGUCGUAGCUAAUAUCCCAAAAUAAAUGAUUCCUGUUGCAAUUGUU